rnacentral:rRNA from 1 species
AUGCCUCAGAUUGGUAUGAAAUUCAAUUCCACAAAAGAGGCUUGGAACUUUUGGACAUGUUAUGGAGGUCAUAUUGGUUUUGAUGUAAGGAUAAAUUAUGAAAACAAGAGCAAACUCAAUGGAGUAAUCACCUCAGCAAGAUAUGUUUGUUCCAAUGAGGGCUACAGAAGAAAAGACAAAAGGGAUAAUAAUACAAAGCAUCCUCAUGCAGAAACAAGGACCGGCUGCAAUGUUCGAAUGGGAAUUACUAUAGACCGAGAAGCACGAAAUUAUGAGGUGCAUGAGUUAGUUGUUGAACACAACCAUGUCUUGCAAUUACCUGGGACAAGCCACUUGAUGCCAUCACAGAGGAAGAUUUCAGCCUUGCAAGCAUUUGAAAUUGAAACAACAGAUGAUUCAGGAAUUGUACCGAGAAAAUCCCAUGAGUUAGCAAGUCGACAAGUUGGUGGUCCACUGAACCUUGGCUACACAUGUCGUGAAAAUAUAGCAAAUAUCUUUUGGGCUGAUGCAAGGAUGAUAAUUGACUAUGCUCAUUUCGGUGAUGUUGUUACCCUCGAUACAACAUUUGGGACAAACAAAGAGUACAGACCCUUCGUGUGUUUGUUGGUUUCAACCAUUUCAGAGAAAUGGUCAUUUUUGGUGCUGCACUUUUAUAUGAUGAGACAUUUGAAUCAUUCAAAUGGUUGUUCAACACGUUCCUAUCAGUGCAUAACAAAAAAAAAAAGACGAGGAUGGACCAAAUGUACUUGCUGA